rnacentral:tRNA from 1 species
GGGGCAUUAGCUCAGCUGGUAGAGCACCUGCAUGGCAUGCAGGGGGUCAGCGGUUCAAAUCCGCUAUGCUCCA